AGAUGUUCAUCGGAAAGCAGAUCGAAUGUUUCCUCAUGCUCAGGAACUGCUGAAGCAGCAGGACCAGCUCACAUGAAAAUCAGACAUCCAACAGAUGUCUUUAAAGAGUUUAGGUCAAAAGUAAUUUGAGAUAUAUGUGUGGAAGAAUCUGCAUUAGAAAGUUGUGAGCAAGAUUAAAUUUAAGAGGCCAUUUAAAGAAGCACAGCAUUUGUCUACUGAACACUAAAGUAUCACUCAGGAAGAUAUUAAAAUUUUUCACUCUUGGAACAUUCCUUGGAUCUCUGCUGCUGUGCUGUGAGAAAAACAAGCUACAAGUAUAGGACACAUGUUGAAGCUCCAAUUGAUAGCUGCAAUUGAGCUCCUUGCCAAUGACCAACAUCCUACGUCAACCAUGUGAAGUGGUCCUCUUCACUGUCCCAGCAUAACUGAGCACACAGGUGAUCAAGGCAGAGCCAAUUCCACAGGAAGUAAGAGAGCAUUGGUGUUAGCCCAUUCAACACCAAGACUAGUGAGAAAUUGCUGUUGUUUUAAGCCACUAAAUCUUGGAGGGGUUUGUUAAGAAAGUAACUGAAAAAGUGUCUUCCGUGAAUAAGGGUCAAGGAACCAUAGGAAUAGAUGAGUGUAGGGGGCCCUGCCCCCCCGCUGGAACUCUUGAGUGCCUUCUACGGACAUGCCCGGGCUUGCUGCAAAUCUACCCGGCAACAAGGAAGUAGCCCCAGUACACUCCUCUUGCUCCUCCCCUCUCGCCCUACGGUAUAUAUGUUGUAACAGCUUCCGCAAUAAACGAGACUUGAUCAGAAA
rnacentral:lncRNA from 1 species